rnacentral:rRNA from 1 species
CACGUAGUUAGCCGUGGCUUGCUCCUUAGUUACCGUCAUUAUUCUUCACUAAGAACAGAAGUUUACAAUCCGAAAACCGUCUUCCUUCACGCGGCGUUGCUGCAUCAGGCUUUCGCCCAUUGUGCAAUAUUCCCCACUGCCGCCUCCCGUAGGAGUCUGGGCCGUGUCUCAGUCCCAAUGUGGCCGUUCAACCUCUCAGUCCGGCUACUGAUCGUCGACUUGGUAGGCCGUUACCCCACCAACUAUCUAAUCAGACGCGAGUCCAUCCUUAGGCGCCUCAGCUUUGGUAUAUCUACGAUGCCGUUAAUAUACUUUAUAUGGUAUUACCGUCCGUUUCCAGACGCUAUCCCUUCUAAGGGCAGGUUACUCACGCGUUACUCACCCGUCCGCCACUCAGUCAUAUCAGUAUUUUCCUUUACCGAAAGAAACUUCCAAUUCAAUCAAAGUCUUCGUUCGACUUGCAUGUGUUAGGCACGCCGCAGCGUUCGUCCUGUACGCGAGACUACGAAACUU